rfam:Phascolarctobacterium sp. YIT 12067 genomic scaffold Scfld61, whole genome shotgun sequence.
AAUCAGAAGAUAAUCGGGCCAUAGACAGCAGGUGCCACAUGCGUAAGUUUUAACUACGCCUGCCGAGGCUGGAGCGUGAAGAUAUAUUAGACCUUCCGACCUCCGGCUACGGCCGAGAGGUCUUUUUGAUUUAAUA